AUUUCUCAAGAGAACUUAUCCGGCCGGCUACAGACCCUUUAGACCCUAUAAUAACGGUUACCACUCGAGCCGCCGGUGUUACCGCGGCGGCUGGCACCGGUCUUGCCCGGCCCUUGCUAUGAAAUGCUUUUUAGGCAUCUCGACAGCCAGAUUUGUAACCUGGCACUCGAGGUUCCCUUAUCGCUGUUGCCAGCAUUGUAAAGUUUUCGCGCCUGCUGCACCCCGUAGGGCCUGGAUUCGUGUCUCAGAAUCCAUCUCCGGGCUCUUGCUCUCACAACCCGUACCCGUCGUAGGCUAGUAGGUACGCUACACCCACUACUACCUGAUAGGCCGCAGACCCAUCCUUAGGCGCCGGAGCUUUUAAUCUCGGUGCAUUCCAGCAGCCGAGACUUAUAGGGGAUUAUACCCAGUUUCCCGGGUUUAUACCCAACCUAAGGGCAGGUUGUCCACGUGUUACUGAGCAGUACGCCAUGUAUUGCUACAUUCGACUCGCAUGGCUUAGUCGAACCUCGAUAGCAGUAACCUCUGGCAGGAUCAACCGGA
rnacentral:rRNA from 1 species